AUUUGCCCAAACUUGACACUGUCUCAUACUUAAAAAUUCAGCUGAUAAGUCCAGCUUUGCGAAAGAGUCAGCAAUGAAAAUAGAUGCACAACCUUCAAGUAGUCUUGGUCUUAUGUUCAACUAAGAAGUAAUCUUCCAUCACCAACAAAAUCAGUUCAAUUUUUGAAAUUUCUGAGAGAACUGCAGGUGUUGGUGUUGUUCUGAAGUUCUGCUAGAUACUUGUUAUUGGAAUGGAAGUACUUGGCCGAUCGAAAAUAAAAUAAAAUGGAAGUACUUGAAGUUGAUGUACCUGAUGUAAUGUUGGCAAUGCAUGUUUGCAUCUAGCAAUCAAUCUAAAUCAUAAAUUAUCUUAUUGUAAAUCUUAUGUGUUCCCUCACUAGUUCAAUUGCACUGAAUAAGUUGUCUUAGAUUGAAUUUUAAAAUUGUGAAUAUAUGGAAGUGGAGGAGUACGUCAAGCACCCAGGGAAGUUUGCACUUGUUGGAGGAAAACGGCUCAAGGGAAUGAUCAUGACAGGUGGGCUUGGGACUGGUAAGACUCUGCUUUCCAAGACUAUUGCAGCAGAAGCCAGAGUACCUUCAUUUAUUCAGAGCAGAUUCAGAAAGGAAUUGAGGGUCUGCCAAUGGUAUUCUCUGUGUGCAACAUUAUAAAAGGGAGAACGAGAAAAUGUAGAAGCACAAGCACUAGAUAUCUUGGAGCCUGCAAAAGCUGUAGUAGUCGACGGUUGCAGAGUGGCCUCGGUGAAACUCUGCAUUUCUAAUUUAUCAACUGUUACUGGCAAAUUAUGCAGUG